GACAGAGGGUGCAAACGUUGUUCGGAAUUACUGGGCGUAAAGCGCGUGUAGGCGGCUCGGCAAGUCGGAUGUGAAAGCCCUGGGCUUAACCUAGGAAGUGCAUUCGAAACUGCCGAGCUGGAGUUCUGGAGAGGAAGGCGGAAUUCUCGGUGUAGAGGUGAAAUUCGUAGAUAUCGAGAGGAACACCGGUGGCGAAGGCGGCCUUCUGGACAGUGACUGACGCUGAGACGCGAAAGCGUGGGGAGCAAACAGG
rnacentral:rRNA from 1 species